rnacentral:rRNA from 1 species
GACGAACGCUGGCGGCGUGCCUAAUACAUGCAAGUUGACCGCUGAAGGUUGGUACUUGUACCAACUGGAUGAGCAGCGAACGGGUGAGUAACGCGUGGGGAAUCUGCCUUUGAGCGGGGGACAACAUUUGGAAACGAAUGCUAAUACCGCAUAAAAACUUUAAACACAAGUUUUAAGUUUGAAAGAUGCAAUUGCAUCACUCAAAGAUGAUCCCGCGUUGUAUUAGCUAGUUGGUGAGGUAAAGGCUCACCAAGGCGAUGAUACAUAGCCGACCUGAGAGGGUGAUCGGCCACAUUGGGACUGAGACACGGCCCAAACUCCUACGGGAGGCAGCAGUAGGGAAUCUUCGGCAAUGGACGAAAGUCUGACCGAGCAACGCCGCGUGAGUGAAGAAGGUUUUCGGAUCGUAAAACUCUGUUGGUAGAGAAGAACGUUGGUGAGAGUGGAAAGCUCAUCAAGUGACGGUAACUACCCAGAAAGGGACGGCUAACUACGUG